GUUGACAUGUCAUCACUUCAUUUUUUUGCGCCUGCGCAUAAAUCUGAGAAACGUGAGUUUUGUCUUCAUUGUUUAUCUCGACAUAGGAUAGGUUGUGUGAAAAUAUUACUGAUGUUUAACGUUAAAAAUGGACCAAAAGAUUAAUGCUAAACAACAUUUGACAUGUUUGAACAAACAUAAAUAGAUUAUUUACUAGGUUUUUUAGCUUUUCGGGCGUGAUUUUACAGUCCCCCACCACGUUUUGUGGGAGCAUAAUGAACACUAAGUACUUGGUGUUAUUUGGACAUAAAUUAUGAACUUUGUCAAAAGAAACCACAUUUGUUCCGGACCUGUGAUGCCUUCCGGACCUGGGAUGCCAGUCUUCUGAUGGAGAUAAUCAAAGGACCUGAGCCCUAGGACCAUGCCUCAGGACUACCUGGUAUGAUGACUCCUUGCUGUCCCCAGUCCACCUGGCCGUGCUGCUGCUCCAGUUUCAACUGUUCUGCCUGCGGCUAUGGAACCCUGACCUGUUCACCGGACGUGCUUGUUGCACCCUCGACAACUACUAUGAUUAUUAUUAUUUGACCAUGCUGGUCAUUUAUGAACAUUUUAACAUUUUAACAUUUUGACCAUGUUCUGUUAUAAUAUCCACCCUGCACAGCCAGAAGAGGACUGGCCACCCCUCAUAGCCUGGUUCCUCUCUAGGUUUCUUCCUAGGUUUUUGGCCUUUCUAGGGAGUUUUUCCUAGGGAGUUUUUCCUAGCCACCGUGCUUCUUUCACAUGCUUUGCUUGCUGUUUGGGGUUUUAGGCUGGGUUUCUGUACAGCACUUUGAGAAUAUCAGCUGAUGUACGAAGGGCUAUAUAAAAAUAAAUUUGAUUUGAUUUGAUUUGCUUUACAGUUAUGGUGAAAAGCCCAAAAUGUCUCGAAGUUAAGUGGGUAAAAAAUUCCUAGAAGUGACACAGGGUUGAUGGAGGGACAUGUCAAAAUGCUGAAUUUUGUCACUUUAGCAAGUCUUUAUUCAUAUUCAAAAUCAGAUUUUUUUUAUUUCUCCAUGUGGUCUAUAUUAAAGGGCAAUUCAGUUAAAAUAACAGGCUUUAAAAUUAUAUAUUGGUUUACAAUUUUAACUUUAUUUUUUUUUAUUUUUUAAAUGCGACACAAACAACAACACAGAGUUACACAUGGAAUAAACAAACGUACAGUCAAUAACACAAUAGAAAAAGUCUAUGAACAGUGUGUGCAAAUGGUGUGAGGAGGUAAAUAGGCCAUAGGAGCGAAGUAAUUACAAUUCAGCAAAUUAACACUGGAGUGAUAGAUGUGCAGAUGAUGUGUCCAAGUUGAAAUACUGGUGUGCAAAAGAGCAAAAAAGUAAAUAAAAACAAUAUGGGGAUGAGGUAGGUAGAUUGGAUGGGCUAUUUACAGAUGGGCUGUCUACAGCUGCAGCGAUCGGAAAGCUGCUCGGAUAGCUGAUGCUUAAAGUUAGUGAGGGAGAUAUAAGUCUCCAACUUCAGCGAUUUUUGCAAUUCGUUCCAGUCAUUGGCAACAGAGAACUGGAAGGAAAGGCGGCCAGUGAGCUAUACCUGCUGGAGCAUGUGCUACGGGGGUGUUGUUAUGGUGACCAGUGACCUGAGAAAAGGAGGAGCUGUCAUGUAUGCUCCUGCUCUUCCCUCCCCUGGCGCUUGAGGGCGCCUGGCUGCCCUGCAUCACGCACUCCUGCCAUCAUCUAUGCACACCUGUCUUCCCUCAUCACGCGCUUCAGCGAUAUUGGACUCACCUGGACUCACUUAUCAUCUGUUUAUUACCUCGCCUAUAUUUUUCAGUUCCCUUGAUCUGUUCUCCGCUGCUGCAUUGAUUGUAUUUUGUCUUUGUUUUCUUGUAUGCUGACGCUGUUCCUGUCUCGUUCCUUAUUAAAUGUUUGACUCCCCGUACCUGCUUCAUCUCUCCAGAGUCAAUUCCAUGUGACAGAAUGCAGCAGCCAUCACACAAAGCAUCGGGGAGUAUUGGCGUUCCAGUUGGUAUUCUCUCUUUGCUCUUGUUUUCCUUAAUAGGAUGUCAGUGGGCAGAGCCAGGAGGGUCGUCAGCGAAAUGGGACACACCUGGGGAAGGGUGUGUCCCAGGAUAAAUGCACCUCUAACCCCAUUCAUUGAGAUUCUCUCCAUGCAGACACUGAUAGAUUUUGGUUGUUGUGUUUUUGUUUGUUUGCGUUGGCACUGUUCAACACCCCUCAUUAUCACAAUUAUGCACGCAACCACUCACUUACACUCCUAAUUACUGACUACACACACCAUUGUUAAUUGUAUUUAGUUUACUUUAGUUAAUAAAUAUAUUUUGUUAUUCCUUAUCUCCAUGUUGUCUCUAUUUUUGUUACGAACUUUGAGCCGGUUCGUGACAAGUGGGGGCUCAUCCAGGAUCUUGAAGGUAUUGUGUUUGGGAGAAAAUGUGGAGUUAAUGUGAACUCUGUAGGUGCUUUGUUUGCAUUUUUUGUUACAGCUUGUUUGAGUUGUAAUGUUUGGUGCCCAGUAUUGGUUACCUUUUGUUUGUUUGGUAAACUUGCCACUGCGGUGGAUAGUUGGUUAUGUGCUGCAUUGGAGAGUACAUUGGUUAGUUUCUAAUCCCUUGCCCAGGCUGGAGACUCUUGAUCUACUCGCUGUUAAGACAUCGGUCCAAGGAGGUGAGUACUAUCGACUGUGUACCUCAGUGGGAGAUUUGGGUAGGGUAGUGACACUUACUACCCGGAGCUAUAGCCUGUUUCCCCUGUUAGGCUUUGCGACGUGAUUCAUUUUGGAAUACGUUGGGCAUGGUUAUUUUGUUUAUUUUUGUGUGGUGUCUGUGGACUGAGCAGUUGUCUCAGGGGCACAUCCGUGGCUUGGGG
rnacentral:lncRNA from 1 species